AUUGAACGCUGGCGGCAUGCUUUACACAUGCAAGUCGAACGGCAGCGCGGGCUUCGGCCUGGCGGCGAGUGGCGAACGGGUGAGUAAUGCAUCGGAACGUGCCCAGUAGUGGGGGAUAGCCCGGCGAAAGCCGGAUUAAUACCGCAUACGACCUGAGGGUGAAAGCGGGGGACCGAAAGGCCUCGCGCUAUUGGAGCGGCCGAUGUCGGAUUAGCUAGUUGGUGGGGUAAAGGCUUACCAAGGCGACGAUCCGUAGCUGGUCUGAGAGGACGACCAGCCACACUGGGACUGAGACACGGCCCAAACUCCUACGGGAGGCAGCAGUGGGGAAUUUUGGACAAUGGGGGCAACCCUGAUCCAGCCAUGCCGCGUGCGGGAAGAAGGCCUUCGGGUUGUAAACCGCUUUUGUUCGGGAAGAAAUCCUCUGGGCUAAUACCCCGGGGGGAUGACGGUACCGGAAGAAUAAGCACCGGCUAACUACGUG
rnacentral:rRNA from 1 species